rnacentral:rRNA from 1 species
AACGCGAAGAACCUUACCACCUUUUGACAUGCCUGGACCGCCGGAGAGAUCCGGUUUUCCCUUCGGGGACUAGGACACAGGUGCUGCAUGGCUGUCGUCAGCUCGUGUCGUGAGAUGUUGGGUUAAGUCCCGCAACGAGCGCAACCCUCGCCCUUAGUUGCCAUCAUUCAGUUGGGCACUCUAGGGGGACUGCCGGUGAUAAGCCGAGAGGAAGGUGGGGAUGACGUCAAGUCCUCAUGGCCCUUACGGGCUGGGCUACACACGUGCUACAAUGGCGGUGACAAUGGGAUGCUGAGGGGCGACCCCGAGCAAAUCUCAAAAAGCCGUCUCAGUUCGGAUUGCACUCUGCAACUCGAGUGCAUGAAGGUGGAAUCGCUAGUAAUCGUAGAUCAGAACGCUACGGUGAAUACGUUCCCGGGCCUUGUACACACCGUAGAGAC